UAAGGAAUAUUGGUCAAUGGGCGCAAGCCUGAACCAGCCAUGCCGCGUGAAGGAUGACGGCCCUAUGGGUUGUAAACUUCUUUUGUACGGGAAAAAACCUCUGGUCGUGUACCAGAGCUGAUGGUACCGUAAGAAUAAGCAUCGGCUAACUCCGUGCCAGCAGCCGCGGUAAUACGGAGGAUGCAAGCGUUAUCCGGAUUCAUUGGGUUUAAAGGGUGCGCAGGCGGAUUAUUAAGUCAGUGGUGAAAGCCUACAGCUUAACUGUAGAACUGCCAUUGAUACUGAUAUUCUUGAGUGUUGUUGAGGUAGGCGGAAUGUGUCAUGUAGCGGUGAAAUGCUUAGAUAUGACACAGAACACCGAUCGCGAAGCAGCUUACCAAGCAACAACUGACGCUCAUG
rnacentral:rRNA from 1 species